AGCCAUGCACGUCUAAGGAUAAAUAUUAUUUAACCAUAAACCUGACGAAAGGCUCAUUAAAUCAGUAAUAAUCUAUUCUAUUAUUUAAUCCUAUUUGGAUAACUGUAGUAAUUCUAGAGCUAAUACAUGACAAAAACCUGGACUUUACAGAACAGGUGUACUUAUUAGACUUUAAAACCGAUUACAAUUUAUUGUAAAAUUUAAAAUGAAUUAAAAUAAGUUUAUGAAUCGCAGAUCAUUUUGUGAUGAUAAGAAUGAAUUUCUGCCCUAUCAACUUUCGAUGGUAAUGUAGUGGAUUACCAUGGUGAUGACGGGUAACGGGGAAUUAGGGUUUUGAUUCCGGAGAAAAGGCCUGAGAGACGGCCAUUACUUCUAAGGAAGGCAGCAGGCGCGUAAAUUACCCAAUCCUAAUACGGGGAGGUAG
rnacentral:rRNA from 1 species